GUGCCAGCAGCCGCGGUAAUACGAAGGGUGCAAGCGUUACUCGGAAUUACUGGGCGUAAAGCGUGCGUAGGUGGUGGUUUAAGUCCGUUGUGAAAGCCCUGGGCUCAACCUGGGAAUUGCAGUGGAUACUGGGUCACUAGAGUGUGGUAGAGGGUAGCGGAAUUCCCGGUGUAGCAGUGAAAUGCGUAGAGAUCGGGAGGAACAUCUGUGGCGAAGGCGGCUACCUGGACCAACACUGACACUGAGGCACGAAAGCGUGGGGAGCAAACAGGAUUAGAAACCCCGGUAGUCC
rnacentral:rRNA from 1 species